CCUACGGGAGGCAGCAGUACGGGAAUCUUGGMCAAUGGGGGCAACCCUGAUCCMGCCAUGCCGCGUGAGUGAAGAAGGCCCUAGGGUCGUAAAGCUCUUUCGCCUGUGAUGAUAAUGACAGUAGCACGUAAAGAAACCCCGGCUAACUCCGUGCCAGCAGCCGCGGUAAUACGGAGGGGGUUAGCGUUGUUCGGAAUUACUGGGCGUAAAGCGCGCGUAGGCGGAUUGGAAAGUUGGGGGUGAAAUCCCGGGGCUCAACCCCGGAACUGCCUUCAAAACUCCCAGUCUAGAGUUCGAGAGAGGUGAGUGGAAUUCCGAGUGUAGAGGUGAAAUUCGUAGAUAUUCGGAAGAACACCAGUGGCGAAGGCGGCUCACUGGCUCGAUACUGACGCUGAGGUGCGAAAGUGUGGGGAGCAAACAGGAUUAGAUACCCUGGUAGUCCACACCGUAAACGAUGAAUGCCAGUCGUCGGAUAGUAUACUAUUCCGUGACACACCUAACCGAUUAACCAUUCCUCCUGGGGAGUACGGUCGCAAGAUUAAAACUCAAAKGAAUUGACGG
rnacentral:rRNA from 1 species